rnacentral:lncRNA from 1 species
AUUAUGUUGACGAAAUUUCCUUUGACGUUCAGCAUUUGAUUUUGAUUUUGAUACUGUUUUCAUUAUUUUUAUUUCUUUUUCUUUUUUUAUGAUUUUUAUUUCUUCAUUUUUCUUCAAAUCUUUCUGACGCUGAUAAUAUGCCCUUUGACGUACAUUAUGAUUUUUUCUCUUUUUAUUCUUUUUACCUCUUUACGCUUUUCUUCUCUAUAAAAUGAAAAUAUCUAGGUAUAAAUAGUGUAAUGACACAGCAAAACAAAAUUACUCAUUUAUAAAAAUAUAACAAUAUUAAGAAGUGAUUAUCGAAUUUCGCGCGAUGUACAUACAUUUAUAUAUACUUUCUUUGCGCGGCAUUCAUGUGCAUUAUCUAUACACCAAAAACAAAGGUACUGAAUAGUACAUGUGCUUGGUUUGAUGGUUUCUGUUAUAUACAUAAUGAAGAAUGAAUUUAUUUAUAAAUAUAUAUAUGUAUAUACAUAUUAGAAUCUAAAUUGAGAAUUUAAACUAUACGCGUGUGUAUGUUUGUGUGUAUAAAAGGGCUACCUUUAAUAUCGCUCAUUUUAAUAUCAAAAAUUUAGGUUAUCUUUAUAAUACUGCAUUUGUGAUAAUAAUAAAAUGUAUGUAUAUAGAGUACUCACUCAUUUUCUUCCACUAUUUCUUCGUUAAUAAUAAAUGCACUUUGUUCAUUCAUAUUCAAUAUUCAAAAAACACUUUAUACACAAAUUUUAUUCCAGAAAAUGUAAAGUCAUCUACCGUGGUAAAGUAUAGAGAAGGUGCGGGUUCAAUGGCGGACAUUUGUUACGAGGCAUCUCGACAAGAGAGAAUUUAUAGCUGCAUUGCCGUGCAUAUUGCUUGUGGAGACUCCACAUUGCUCAUAGCAGAAAACGAAAGAGGUUAACAAGGAGAAAAAGAAAUCAUUUGGACCAUUGGUAAAAUUCAAAUCUAUAGCGUGCAGCAACCAAAUAAUGGAGUAUGUUUUAAAUUAUUAAAGUUAAAUAGUGUAUAUUUCAUUCAAAUAUUUGUUAUAGAUUGUGCAUUUUAUUUUGA